rnacentral:rRNA from 1 species
AUGCAAGUCGAACGAUUAAAGCUCUCUUCGGAGAGUGCAUAAAGUGGCGCACGGGUGAGUAACACGUAAGUAAUCUACCUUCGAGUGGGGAAUAACGUCCGGAAACGGACGCUAAUACCGCAUAAUGCAGCGGCAUCGCAAGAUGACAGUUGUUAAAGGAGCAAUCCGCUUGAAGAGGAGCUUGCGGCAGAUUAGCUAGUUGGUAAGGUAAUGGCUUACCAAGGCUACGAUCUGUAACCGGUCUUAGAGGACGGUCGGUCACACUGACACUGAAUAACGGGUCAGACUCCUACGGGAGGCAGCAGUCGGGAAUUUUGGGCAAUGGGCGAAAGCCUGACCCAGCAACGCCGCGUGAAGGAUGAAGUAUUUCGGUAUGUAAACUUCGAAAGAAUGGGAAGAAUCAAUGACGGUACCAUUUAUAAGGUCCGGCUAACUACGUGCCAGCAGCCGCGGUAAUACGUAGGGACCAAGCGUUGUUCGGAUUUACUGGGCGUAAAGGGCGCGUAGGCGGCAAUUCAAGUCAGCUGUGAAAUCUCUGGGCUUAACCCAGAACGGCCAGCUGAUACUGCUUUGCUAGAGUGCAGAAGGGGCAAUCGGAAUUCUCGGUGUAGCGGUGAAAUGCGUAGAUAUCGAGAGGAACACCUGAGGUGAAGACGGGUUGCUGGGCUGACACUGACGCUGAGGCGCGAAAGCCAGGGGAGCAAACGGGAUUAGAUACCCCGGUAGUCCUGGCCCUAAACGAUGAAUACUUGGUGUCUGGAGUUAUUAGUGCUCCGGGUGCCGUCGCUAACGUUUUUAGUAUUCCGCCUGGGGAGUACGCUCGCAAGAGUGAAACUCAAAGGAAUUGACGGGGACCCGCACAAGCGGUGGAGCAUGUGGUUUAAUUCGACGCAACGCGAAGAACUUUACCUAGGCUAGAAUGUGAGGGAAGAAAGGGUAAUUCCGAUCGUCCGGGAAACCGGACCCAAACA